rfam:Felis catus isolate Cinnamon breed Abyssinian chromosome A1, whole genome shotgun sequence.
GCCUGGGUGGCUCAGUCGGUUGAGCAUCUGACUUCGGCUCAGGUCAUGAUCUCGCAGUUUGUGAGUUUGAGCCCCACGUCUGGCU